GCCUUGGAGGUUGAAAUUGCUCUCAGAUUCAGUCACAGGGGGUGCUGUUGCUCCAUUCUCCAUGACAAAGAACCAUCAGGACUUCCUCCUUCCACCUUGCUCUUGGUCAUCGCAUUUCUGGUCUUGUUAUUUAUGAAGUUGUAAAAUACCUCCCCCGCAGUUUGCGGUACCUAAUUUCUCUACUUACAGUUUAUAAGCUGUUUUCAAACUGCUUAGGUAAACAGUGAGCUGGUCUUGAUGGUUGGGUGCUCACCCCGACCGGGCUUUGAACUGGCCACUUUUCGGUUGGUAGGUCUUAUUACUGCUGGUGAUUUACCAGCUGUGCUACAGCCCAGCUGUAAAUCAAUCUGAAAUUGGCAAGGGGGUUCAUUUCUCUCCCAAAAGGCCAUCAUAUGAAUUUCUUGAAAACUGUAUGAGAUUCUAUUUAACUGUCUGACUUUUCUUGGGGCUUGUUUAAAAACAGUUUCAGGUUUUUAAACUGAUUGUCUGAAAACACCUUGAUUCCCUUUCUCCAUCUCACUAUUCUGCCUCAGCCGUCCAGGGCAUGGCCAUACCACUUUCAGAAACUCAAAUUAUUAUCUGCUUGGAGCCAGCUGAGUGAGGAUCCUGUCUGAUCAAUUGUCUUCCAUUUUGAUAAGUAGCAUAUUAUGACCAGUUUAUGGGGACGUGUGCAGUAACCCAAUGUUAAUAGCCCUGCCUUCAGCUUGCUAAGCUCUGGAAAGAGCAUUUUGAAUUUCUUCAACAAGAAGGAAGAUUAUCAGCCACAAGAAAGAACCACACAGGGAAAGUGAAUAGAUUUGGGCAGAUCUAUACCUACUAGAGACAAUGUCAGUGAGAAGAGAGGCUGGUGCUGUCUUUAUCUACUGGAUGCGAAGCAGAGAGAAAGUAUGUAGCGAUGUAAGAAAAGAAGGCUGGAUCAAAAUCUCAGAAGUCUUUAAUUCAAGCUGCUAUUAACAGUGAUCUUAAAAUCCUGAAUGGCUUGGGCCCAUCGACCAAGACUGCUUGCUUCAAGGAUUGCCAAUGAAUUGACCAAAUGCCAAGACAACCUCACAACCUCUGAGGAUGCCUGCCAUAGAUGUGGGCGAAACUUCAGGAGAGAAUACUUCUAGAACAUGGCCAUACAGCCCGGAAAACAUACAACAACCCUAUAUGUAUUUUCACUGUGUAUUGUAUAGCAUUGAAUGGCUGCCAUUUAUGUCAUAAACCGCUCCGAGUCUCAAUGGGAGAUGGGACAGGGUAUAAAUAAAGUUGACUUGACUUGCCAUAUCAUUGUGAGCCAGCCUCUUUCAAAACAAAUUGAAUCUGUACUGCCAUUAAAAAUACCACAUUGCAAGCAUAUGGGGUUAGCAAAGGGAGGAGUCAUCCAGUUCAUAUUUUAUGGAUGGUGAAAUCAGGCUGGAGAUGCACAUCAUGCAUUUGUGAUAUUUCUUAACAUCAUGUAAUUUUAUUGCUCGCUGCUGCUGGAAUUUCCAAAGAUCUGUAUUCCUAUUAAAUGACUCAUCAUGCUAUUUCAAUAUGUUUGUUCUUGCAGCAACUUAUUUUUUUUUCUUGUUUGGAAUGCUGCCACUUGAUUCUCUCUGUCAUGUUCAUUUUCAAAUUCACAUGAUAAAAUGUUGUUAUUCAAAUACACUUUCUUCUCUAUGGGA